rnacentral:rRNA from 1 species
UACGAAGGGGGCGAGCGUUGUUCGGAAUUACUGGGCGUAAAGGGCGCGCAGGCGGCUCUGAAAGUCAGAUGUGAAAGCCCCGGGCUUAACCUGGGAAUUGCAUUUGAUACUCUGGAGCUUGAGUGUGGGAGAGGAGAGUGGAAUUCCCGGUGUAGAGGUGAAAUUCGUAGAUAUUGGGAAGAACACCGGUGGCGAAGGCGGGUCUCUGGGCAGUAACUGACGCUGAGGAACGAAAGCGUGGGUAGCGAACAGG